GUGCUCGCUUUGGCAGCACAUGUACUAAAAUUAGAACAAUACAGAGAAGAUUAGCACGGCCCUGAGCAGGGAUGACAUGUAAAUUAGUGAAGCGUUCCAUGUUUUU
ensembl:snRNA U6 U6 spliceosomal RNA